rnacentral:rRNA from 1 species
UACGUAGGUGGCGAGCGUUGUCCGGAUUUACUGGGUGUAAAGGGCGCGUAGGUGGGGGAGCAAGUCAGAUGUGAAAUUCCAGGGCUUAACCGUGGGCGUGCAUUUGAAACUGUUCUUCUUGAGUACUGGAGAGGCAGGCGGAAUUCCCAGUGUAGCGGUGAAAUGCGUAGAUAUUGGGAGGAACACCAGUGGCGAAGGCGGCCUGCUGGACAGCAACUGACACUGAGGCGCGAAAGCGUGGGGAG